CGGGACGCGCGGCAGGGACUUUGCAAACUAGGCUAACGUCCCCAGUAGACCGCAGAGGCUCGCGGCCGCGGGUAGGCUCCCGCAGAUCCCCGUGCAGUCCCCACCCGCGGAGCAUCCCGGCGCGCAGCGAUCUCACGGGAGUUGGCGCGGGGACGCUUGGGUGCUGGGACGCUUGGGUGCUGGGAAGGUGUGGACCUUCAGUCCAGGAAACCCGUCCCAGCCGAGUAGCCGCGCGUCCCGGGGAGCCCGGCGAGCCACGGCGCCGGGGACGGCCAAGGGGAGGCGGGAUGAGUCUGCGGGCCGGCUGAGCGCGCCGAGGAGCGGGCCUGGCCACCGCCGGGGACAUGGCAUCUUGUCUCUGGAAAAGGCUGCGUGGCAAGAGGCGGCCAGUGAUGGCAUUCUGCCUCUUGAUGACCCUGUCUGCGAUGGCUGUCACCCACUUUCCCCCACAGCAUCCAGGCGCCAGCCCAGACCCUGGUCCCACGGAGCCUCAGGGGGUAACUGGCACCCCUGCAACCCAUAUCUGGCAGGCUUUGAGCUCCAGCCGGAGGCAGCAGGCAAGAAACAUGGGCUUCUGGAGAGGUCGUGCUUUGCCUAGGAACUCCAUCUUGGUCUGUGCUGAGGAGCAAGGCCACAGAGCGAGAGUGGACAGAAGCAGAGAGUCCCCAGGAGGGGACCUCAGGCAUCCAGGGAGGGUCAGGAGGGACAUUACUUGGACAGGACAUCCAAGACUCAGUACUCAGCAUGUUGUGCUCCUGAGGGAGGAUGAGGUCAGAGAUCCAGGAGCCAAAGACCUGGGCCACCCCCGGCAUGGCAGUCCCACCCAGGAGACGCAGAGUGAGAUGGUCGCCCUGGUUGAUCCACUCGCAGGGAGCGAUGUGGCAGCUUCACCAGCUUGGAGAACUACUGCUGUGCUGACACUCUGGCCCCAUAGAGUGGAAGGCAGGGAUCUGAUGGGAACUGAGAACAGAGCCUUGACUGGUGGACGACAAGAAGAGGAUCCCACCUUGGCCUCAGGGGCUCCUCAGUGGCCUGGCUCUGUUGGGGAGCUGCAAGGGUCAGUAUGGUGUGGCACUGAGACCCCAGGGCUGUUGAGCAGCUCAAGGACUGGUGGGCAGGUUCCCCCAUGGCUGACAGAACACGAUGUGCAGAUGCUUCGACUGUUGGCUCAGGGGGAGGUGGUGGGCAAAGCCAGGGUCCCCGCCCAUGGGCAGGUGCUACAGGUUGGCUUCUCUGCUGAGGGUGCCCUUCAGGACGUGUCCCCUCCCAGUCUCAGCCAACUCUGCUCCCAAGGGCUCUGUGGCCUGAUCAAGAGGCCUGGGGACCUGCCUGAGGUCCUAUCCUUCCAUGUAGAUCGUGUGCUGGGGCUGCGCAGGAGCCUGCCUGCUGUGGCCCGCCGCUUCCACAGCCCCCUCCUGCCCUACCGCUACACAGAUGGUGGCACAAGGCCUGUCAUCUGGUGGGCCCCCGAUGUGCAGCACCUGGGUGACCCGGAUGAGGACCAGAACUCUCUGGCCUUGGGCUGGCUGCAGUACCAGGCCCUGCUGGCACAUGGUUGCAGCUGGCCAGGCCAGGCCUCAUGCCUGGGCAUCCACCAUGCGGAGUGGGCACGCCUGGCACUCUUCGACUUCCUGUUGCAGGUCCACGACCGCUUGGAUCGCUACUGUUGUGGCUUUGAGCCUGAGCCCUCAGACCCCUGUGUGCAAGAGGGGCUCCGAGAUAAGUGCUGGAACCCGGCUGAGCUGCGGCUGGUCCACAUCCUGGUCCGGAGCAGUGAUCCAUCUCACCUGGUCUACAUCGAUAAUGCCGGCAACCUUCAGCACCCCGAGGACAAGCUGAACUUUCGGCUGCUGGAGGGCAUAGAUGGGUUUCCUGAGUCUGCUGUGAGGGUUCUCACAUCAGGGUGUCUACAGAACAUGCUGCUUAAGUCGCUGCAGAUGGACCCUGUGUUCUGGGAAAGCCAAGGUGGGGCCCAGGGGCUGAAGCAGGUCCUCCAGACCCUGGAGCGGCGAGGACAGGUGCUGCUGGAACAUAUCCGGAAGCACAACCUCACACUCUUCAGGGACGAGAACCCGUGAGCCUCGCCACGGCCCUGAGUCAAUGAGCAUCCAUCCUGAUGGCCACAUCUUCUUGGACUCACUCAUCUUGAGGACAAAUAGGAAAAGCCAGAAGCCAGAGGGGCACAAGGAUGUCACAGGAUAUUUCAACUGCCUGGGAUGGUGGAGAAAGCCUCUUCGCCUCAGUGCUUGCUGCUUGCCCAGCUGUUCCCUCUGGAAUGAGAACCGUGUGCCAAGUGAAGCAAACAGCCAGGAAUCAGGAUGUUCCCACCAAUCUUAGAAGAGGCUGUGAAGAUAAGGAGCCAAUAGCAGGGGCAGUGGGGAGGAAGAACAGAGGGGUGUCUUGCCUGAGGCCACACAGAUGGGAGCAGCUGCCUUUCUCAUACAAGGACACUUCACUUGUUAUUAGAUUUGGGGCCCGCAUGGAUAAUACAGGCAACAUUUCCCAUGGGAUCAUUGUAUACCACAGACACUGAAUUACACCAGGAAACAGGGCUUUGCCUCCCUGUGUCCAUGUGUCAGGUGAGUGGUGCACUAGGCAUCACCUUGGGUACAGGGAGCAUGACCCAAGAUGCUGUGCCUAAAGGGAAUGCUAAGGUGCCCUGCUUCUUGGACGUCUGAUUGCCGGUUCUCAUGACUGCUGCUUCAUUUAAAACUUAAUUGUAGUGAGAUAUCAGAACCAAGAACUUGACAUUGGUACAAUAUGUGUGAUUCCACAGUCCUGUUAUCAUGCACCCACAUACAACAGUGGGGUAGGAUCCCAGGCAUCUUGGAUGAUUUUCACAUCAGGAAUGAAUGGAUGCAUCCUUUCUCUGCCCUGCCCACAUGGAAGUUCUGCUGCCCACAUGAAGGCACAUCUAGUUCUGGUGAGUGACCAUGGUGAAUGUCAGGGAUUGGGUUGCCCAAUCUCCACCCCGCCUUCCUUCUAUGGGGUCUUCCUGCACUGCUGAGACCGAAAAGCUGCACACUCCAUUACCCAGGCUCCCUUGCAGCUGGGUUCUGGAUGCAAAUUAGAUUCUACCAUUCAGAUGUACUCCUAGGAGGGCCGUCCCCCUGUGUGGACAUCCUCCCGUGCCUUUUAGCUAUUUUCAGUUCACAGGCAAAGUGGUGGCGAUGAGAGGUGUUCUAGAGCAGGCUUCAGUGUCCACUUGCCAGCUUUCUGGGUCCCAAGAGUGGGAGGCUGGCAGAGUGGGGCUGGACGGUGAUUCUGUUACCCAGUCACCAGCUUUGUGAUGGUUGAGAGAUGGCUGUGACACUGCUGAGAGCAUCCUGAUCCCUAGAUCCCAGCUCCAUUUGUGGUUCUUUAGCUCACAGCCCUAGCAGCAGCCUCCGGGAUUGUGGUGGUUGCAGAAUUGAGGCCUAUCCUGGAGCACUCUCCCCCAGAUCUUCCAAGGAUUUCUUAAACGCUUUCUGUUUUGAAAAAAAAAAAAUGAUAAAUUCACAGAAGUUGCAAAGAUAGUACAGGGAGGUCCUGUGUAUCCUUCACCGAGUUUCCCCCAUAGUUACAGCUUCCUUAAUUGUAGUGCAAUAUCAAAACCAAGAACUUAAUAUUGGUACAAUAUGUGUGAUUCCACACUCCUGUUAAUCACAUGUACAUUCAUCAAUCACCACAGCAAUCAAGGUAAAGAACUGUUUCAUCACCACAAAGAUCACACCUACCCCUUUCACUCUCUCCCAUUCCUAAUCCCUGGCAACCACAAAUCUGUUCUCCACUUUUAUAAUUUUAUCAUUUCAAGAGGAACGUUACAUAAAUAGAACCACCCAGGAUGUAAACUUUGGAGGUUGGCUUUUCUUCCACUCAGCACAAUGUCUUUGAGACCCAUCUAAGUUGUUGAUGUAUCAGUAACCCAGUCUUUUUUGUUGCUGAGUGGUAUUCCAUGGUAUGGAUGUGCCACGUGUUGUUUAAUGAUUUGUCCAUUGAAGGACAUCUGGGUCAUUUUCAGUUCUUGGCUAUUGCAAACAAAUCUGCUUGGAACAUUUGUGUACAGGCUUUUGGGUAAACAUCAUUUUCAUUUCUCUGGCAUAAAUGCCCAGGAGUCCAAUUUCUGAGUCAUAGGGUAAGUAUAUGUUCAAUUUCUUAAGAAACUGCUCAUCUAUUUCACAGAGUACCGUUUUACAUUCUUACCAGCAAUGAAUGUAAACCCAGCUGUUCUGCAUGUUUGCUGGCAUUUGGUGUUGUUGCUAUUUCUUGUUUUAGUGGAAGUGUGGUUGAGUCUUCCCUUGCCACCAAUGUCUCUAUAUUUGAACUUGGAAAAUGGGAAUGGUUUGGGGAUACUGAGGGAUUAUUGGCCUCACAGUUAUACAGUAAUCCACCCCCACCCCCAUUAGGAAAAGGUAGUAUUUCAAAAUAUUGUUUAUCAUAAAUUCAAAUUGAAUUGGGUGUACCUUCCUUUUGUUUGCUAAAUUUAGCAAUCCUAGGAAAAGGUUAACCUACCUGAACCAGUCAAAAGUCUGAAAGUACAACACUCAAAAACACAUCAUUUGAUUAUUUCCACUAGAUGUAAGCUCCCAGAGGCAAAGAUUACAUCUUCUUAUACUUUUUAUUCCCAGGACCCAGGAUAGAAUUAUCUCAAAUUCUAAAUUAGCUGUGUGUGACUUCAUGAAAUUUUUUCUUUGAAAAGAGAAAUGAAACUCCUGUGAUUAAAGGACACACACAGCUUUCUGACUAUACUGCUGUUUGGAAGGGGUGUGUUUUUAAAAAUGUUAAUUGGAAUUUAUUUGGCUUUCAAAAAUUCAUAUAUAAAAAUAAUGAAAGCAGAAAUGACACAGCCUAGUAGCUGCCUGGGUAUCCCAGACUCCACGUCCUUUUAAGGUAACUCACUCUGCCCGCCCGCUUUCCCACAGGCUCAGUGUGGCCAGAGCUGACCGCGAGCCUGGCUUUAUGCUGUUGCUGGGGUGGGACCUGGGCUCCACAACCUGCACCCUUCUGAAGGGAGGCCCACAGUGCUGGUCCACAGAUCGAUGCAGCCUUGGUUCGCUGCCUCUGGUGCUGACUGCAGGGGCCUGGCCAGACCAUCAUCGUCACCAGCACUGUGGACUGGGAGGGUGCAGGGCUGCAUUCCUGCAGAGACCAAUGGUGGCAGCACAUCUCUGCCUCCCUUCUGUCCUUCCCUGCAUCUGGAAGAGGACUACUUGGAGGCCUGAAACCGCCCUCCUGUCCUGAAGGGUGGAAAACCUGGCUUAACUACAUCUUCUGUCAGCUGUGGGCCACGUGGACUGUCCAGCAGAGGUUGGUGCACCUGGACAGCCUGAUUGUAUCAGGCUGUGGCUGAGUGGGAACAGCUGGAGGCUGGUCAGGGGCUAAGGAACACCUGAAGCAUUCCUUGUGGGUUUAUGUUCCCAUCUGGGCCCCCUGCCCAGACCUGGCACUCCCCUACUGCCACCCCACCUGCAGCCAGCAGGAUGCUCUCAGAGCUGACUCAUGGUGGGGGUCGGGGGAAGAGGAGCAGAGGCCAAAGGCUGAGGAGCUCUGGCCCAGGUACCUACUGGGUUACUUGUGACAGGCUUUGGCCUAGUAGCUGCUUGUGUAUCCCAGACCCCAGCUCUCAGGCUCUUGAUUGCUAAGAUGAAGAUUUAUAAUAAACAGGUUAGAGAAAUGUAAAUGCCCUUAAUGUUACAUAAGCUCUUAUCGCUUCUGUAUAUUUAUAUAUGAAUACCUAUAUAUAUAUACAUAUAUGUAUGAGUCAUAAGAAAUUAUUUAUAUAUUCAUCCCCCUAUGAAUAUGGGGAUGAUAGAGAGGGUCUCUAUCAUGUAGGGGUAUGUGUGUUACAUGGAUGUAUGUAUUUGUCAAAACUCAUGUAACUACACAGAAAAUCUGUCUAUUUCACCAUAAACACCAAUAAUUUUUUUUUAAAGCAGCAGCAGUAAAAGAAAAAAUGCUGCUACUACUCAGUGCUGUCAAGGGGUGGCCUGGGCUGCUGGGCAUAGAUCCAGCUCCUCCAUGGAGCCUGGGGGAAGGAGCUGAUUUCCCAGUGAUUCUACACAACGUUCUCUAGCUAACCAAAGUCUUGUUUCCAAAGAAUAGUCAUCAGUGACAAGGCAAAGUGUUCACAUUACAAUGUUAAAGAGAAAAAAAGGGGGCAAAGUUUCACAUAAUGCAGAUUCCCAAUUUGUAAAAAACAGUUUGGACAAAAGCAGAGAUGCAUGUAUUCAUGGAGCCAAGGAACCAUUCACUGAGCUUUCCCUUGGCUGUGACCCACAUGUCACAAACCCUCACUGAGCUCCCAGCCUGUGAGCAAUGACUUGCAGAGGUAAGUGCUUCCCUGGAGACCGUGGUGGGACCAGCAGGGUUAGGGCUUUGUAGGUGUGACAAACUGGGUUUUCAGGAGAGCUGGCCCUUGUGCUGAGUGGUCUUCCUUUCUAAUCAAGGUGUGCCAUACAGAAAGCACAGAGGUGAGUGAAGUGUACCAAUCUACUGUGUAAGCAGGAUGAUGACUUUUCUCAAUGUCCACGGUGCAGCCACCAUCCAGACCACAAUGUUGGCAACCCCCAAGUGUCCCUGUGUCCAUUCCAGUCUUUACCCCCAUUCCCGGUAACCACUAUUCUGAUUUCCAUCACCAUAAGUUUGUAUUCCUGUUCUAGGACUUUAUACAAAUGGAAUCAUAAGAUAUGUCUGCCUUUUUGAGUCUGCCUUCUUUUACUCAAUGUGGUCUGAAAGUUCACUUCAUUCUUUUUAAAAUUGUUGUGUCCAUUGCCUGAAUAUACCUGUUGAUGGAUACUUGAAACACUUACGCUGUUUGGCUAUUAAGAGUAGAGCUGUAGACAUUUUAAGACAUGUCUUUUUGCUGACAUAAGCACUCAUUUCUCUUGGGUGUAUAUCAAGAAGUGGAAUUGUUGAGAGAUAGGGCAGCUAAGUGUUCAGCUUUAGUACAAACUGCCAAAUGGUUUUCCAAGUGGUUGUACCAUUUCACUCCCCCAGCCCCAACAGUGUCUGAGAUCUCUGGCUUUGAGCUGAGUCUUGAUGUGUGGAUUCUCAUGGCAUUUUAUGGUGGUGGCAGAUGGAAGCUACAGUUAGGGAGAAAGACAUUCUGGGUAAAAGGAAUGACAUAAGGAUGCAUGGUGACCAUGAAAAUGCAUCAUUCAGAUCUCCUGUGGCAGAGGACAUGGGAUGGCCCAGCUGCUGUGCUGAAUUCACCAAGGUACUGAUGCAGAGGCCACAUUUCCCACUGUGGUUCCCAGCUGAUUAGCGUGGUGGGGAUACCUACCUAAUGAACAUCUUCAGCUCAAGAACUCCCCAUCGGCCUGGUUAAAAGGUGUGCCAUAUAGAAUGCACGGAGGUACAGCCUGAGGCUCCACCUCCUCUCCCCGGCUUUUUUCCCUCUCCUCUUUAUAGGAGUCAGACGUGCAGCAGGUCUCUCUAACAACAAAAAGACCAAAACUCCUUUCUUCAGGGCAGACUGGAUCUUGGGGGAACUUUCUAGCUCUGCUCCCAUGGAACGCAGACAAACGUUAGCUGAAUGUCAUUAGGCAAAACUGCCCAUGGGAGUUUUUGACUUCUGAUUGACAAACUACACCUAGACUGGAAGGACAAAUAAUCUACACCAUCCGGUAAGAAACCAUAGCCUUAGGCUUCCCUAAGUGCAGAAACUCAUAACUGGGAGUGUCCUUUGAGGGGCCUGCGAAUUCUGAUUGUGGGUUGUUGAAAACACAUUGACUCCUAUAGGGAAUGGGCUUCUGAACCAAGGUGGCCUUCAGGACUACUGAUGUGAAGACUGCUCCUGUGGAAGGGAACUGCUGGCACGGUCCUGCUGGUACACUAAGCAUCUAUCUCCAUCCUUCUAAGCACCUCCGAUGCCAGGUAUGGUCUGUCCUCUUGCAAGUCUGAAUGUCUAGUUGAGCCUAAGAAAAACCUAUGGUAGAUACAGCUCUUCCUCCCCUCAGCCCUCUCCCACCUACUUCUAGGCUUUCAUCCCAUGUAGGUAGAACUGUGAUAUUAGUCCAGCUAGUCAAGAUGAAAUCCAACCAGCUUGCUCACUUCACCAUUCUAGACGCUUUCCCAUUGCCAUGUCUCCCUAGCUAACGGUCAGGAUUAAAGGGCACCUGGGUUUUGAUGACCAGCCCCCCUUCUUCCCAUCCAAUAA